AUGUAGACUCCAUCUAGAUCUAGAUCUGGACCGUCAUCUAGAUCUGGAUCCAUCAUGUUUCUUUUAAACCCGUUAAGAUCUAGAUCUGGAUCCAUCAUGUUUCUUUUCAAACCCCAUGAAGACGGAUUCUCUUUGGUUUAUUUUAAAGAAAAUCUUACACGAAGAAGAUGAUGAACCAGAUAUCGAAGAGAAGGCUGAAGUUUUUGUUCGAAACCAGGGAAAGAUCAGAUCUGUACCGACCAAAACAAUUUGAAGUUGAUGUUUCAGAUGUUGAAGAUGAUUCAAAAGAUGUUUGAUGUUAAACAUAGUUACGAAAUGUAACAAUCAAAGAAAAAAUGCAUGUUACAUUUUUUCGUGUUACAUGAAUAAUGCACGUUACUGAAAAUAAAGUGGAUUGUUACACUUUUUAGACUGUUGUAAAAAUAAAGU
rnacentral:lncRNA from 1 species